rnacentral:lncRNA from 1 species
AAAUUGGGUUAUUGGAUGAAAGAGGUGGGGUUUGAACUGGACCUUGUCAAUGGAGAUGAUUUGUUAGUGGUCAUCCUAACCGGAUGAUUGCCUAAACAAACACACAGAGCUGAAUGACUAUGCAUUUGUCAAAUUCUAACCUCAGAGGCUGCCUACCUACAUCAUCUGUGGGGGUGGUGGCGGUGGUAGUGAUGGUAGUGGCACAUAUUAAAGCUACAAAACAGUGGACUAGAAGGCCAAGCACAUUUCCAGGGAUGGAGGGGAGGCAAGGAAAUGGACAAAUAUGCCAUAGGCCAGAAACCAGAAACACGCUUGUUAGGAAGAAGCUCUGUACAAGGACAUUCAGCCCUUCUAUCAGCAGACAGGUUGGCAGGAAAGAACAUGUGGAGUGGAGAGAAAGUUCCAGGUGUUACCUAUAUGUUCCUGUGAGGUCUCCCCAGUGAACUCAGCAGCAAUUCCAUGUAUGGAAGGAAGAUAGAUAAAGAGGCAGCAUCAAGUUCCUGGCAGGCUGGCCUGGAAUGAAGGAAGCAAUUACCUCAUGACAUUUGCCACACCAUAUGGCAGGUGGCGAUAUCUCAGGAUGUCAUCCAACGGCUCCUCCACACAGGAACUCUUCUUGUGAGUGACACUCGAGACAUGAAGCUUGUGAAGAAGUUCAAAUUCUCACAGAUGAUAUUAUCCAGAGAAAAUGGCAAGACUACAACCUGAGAACUUUGCAAGAGCCAAGCCAAGAAAGAAAUGCUGUACACAGGAAGAAGGAACUGGAAGAAGUUAGAGGCCCAACCAAAGCCAUAGACUAUGGACAAUCGCUCCAUAUUUACUUAUCUCAGAUUGAAGUAGCUAAGGAUGUAAGACCCAGGUCAGAUUGGUGCUUGAUAUUACUUCUGUCUCUGUUAUUAUUUUCAUCACAUUAAGCAUGAUUAUUCUUAUCAUGAACUUAUUAUAUGUCAGGUACUAUGCUUUCUGCUUUUCCUAGUUUAGGAUGUUUAAUGGACAUUUGCUGAAUGAAGGGAUGAGUUAAUUCUUCCAGCCAUCCUGCAGGGAUUACAGAUGGGAAGUUAAGCAUCUUGCUCAAGCUGCCACUGCAAAUAGGCCAAAAAUAAAAAAUAAAAAUCUGCC